rnacentral:rRNA from 1 species
UACGGAGGGGGCUAGCGUUGUUCGGAAUUACUGGGCGUAAAGCGCACGUAGGCGGCUUUGUGAGUUAGAGGUGAAAGCCCAGGGCUUAACCCUGGAAUUGCCUUUAAGACUGCAUCGCUAGAAUCGUGGAGAGGUGAGUGGAAUUCCGAGUGUAGAGGUGAAAUUCGUAGAUAUUCGGAAGAACACCAGUGGCGAAGGCGGCUCACUGGCUCAUACUGGACGCUGAGGUGCGAAAGCGUGGGGAGCAAACAGG